GAGGGUAUAGCUCAGCGGUAGAACAUGUGCUUAACAGGCACAAGUUCCUGGGCUCAUCCCCAGUGUCUCCA
rnacentral:tRNA from 1 species